GACGAACGCUGGCGGCGUGCUUAACACAUGCAAGUCGAACGGAAAGGCCCUGCUUUUGUGGGGUGCUCGAGUGGCGAACGGGUGAGUAACACGUGAGUAACCUGCCCUUGACUUUGGGAUAACUUCAGGAAACUGGGGCUACUACCGUAUAGGAGCUCCUGCUGCAUGGUGGGGGUUGGAAAGUUUAGGCGGUUGGGGAUGGAUUCGCGGCUUAUCAGCUUGUUGGUGGGGGAGUGGCUUACCAAGGCUUUGACGGGUAGCCGGCCUGGGAGGGUAACCGGCGACAUUGGGACUGAGAGACGGACCAGACUCCUACGGGAGGCAGCAGUGGGGAAUAUUACACAAUGGGCGGAAGCCUGAGGCAGAAACGCCGCGUGCGGGAUGACGGCCUGCGGGUUGUAAACCGCUGUCGCCUGUGACGAAGCGGGAGUGACGGUAAUGGGUAAAGAAGCACCGGCUAACUACGUG
rnacentral:rRNA from 1 species